GGGCACAAAGGGACAUGGGAAGGGGUGUAUUUAUUAGAUAAAAAAUCAAUGUCUUCGGACUCUUUGAUGAUUCAUAAUAACCUUUCGAAUCGCAUGGCCUUGUGCUGGCGAUGGUUCAUUCAAAUUUCUGCCCUAUCAACUUUCGAUGGUAGGAUAGUGGCCUACCAUGGUUUCAACGGGUAACGGGGAAUAAGGGUUCGAUUCCGGAGAGGGAGCCUGAGAAACGGCUACCACAUCCAAGGAAGGCAGCAGGCGCGCAAAUUACCCAAUCCUAAUUCAGGGAGGUAGUGACAAUAAAUAACGAUACAGGGCCCAUUCGGGUCUUGUAAUUGGAAUGAGUACAAUGUAAAUACCUUAACGAGGAACAAUUGGAGGGCAAGUCUGGUGCCAGCAGCCGCGGUAAUUCCAGCUCCAAUAGCGUAUAUUAAAGUUGUUGCAGUUAAAAAGCUCGUAGUUGAACCUUGGGCUUGGUUGGCCGGUCCGCCUUUUUGGCGAGUACUGGACCCAACCGAGCCUUUCCUUCUGGCUAACCUUUCGCCCUUGUGGUGUUUGGCGAACCAGGACUUUUACUUUGAAAAAAUUAGAGUGUUCAAAGCAGGCCUUUGCUCGAAUAUAUUAGCAUGGAAUAAUAGAAUAGGACGUUAUGGUUCUAUUUUGUUGGUUUCUAGGGCCAUCGUAAUGAUUAAUAGGGACGGUCGGGGGCAUCAGUAUUCAGCUGUCAGAGGUGAAAUUCUUGGAUUUACUGAAGACUAACUACUGCGAAAGCAUUUGCCAAGGACGUUUUCAUUAAUCAAGAACGAAGGUUAGGGGAUCGAAGAUGAUCAGAUACCGUCGUAGUCUUAACCAUAAACUAUGCCGACUAGGGAUCGGGUGUUGUUCUUUUUUUGACGCACUCGGCACCUUACGAGAAAUCAAAGUCUUUGGGUUCUGGGGGGGAGUAUGGUCGCAAGGCUGAAACUUAAAGGAAUUGACGGAAGGGCACCACCAGGAGUGGAGCCUGCGGCUUAAUUUGACUCAACACGGGGAAACUCACCAGGUCCAGACACAAUAAGGAUUGACAGAUUGAGAGCUCUUUCUUGAUUUUGUGGGUGGUGGUGCAUGGCCGUUCUUAGUUGGUGGAGUGAUUUGUCUGCUUAAUUGCGAUAACGAACGAGACCUUAACCUACUAAAUAGUGCUGCUAGCUUUUGCUGGUAUAGUCACUUCUUAGAGGGACUAUCGAUUUCAAGUCGAUGGAAGUUUGAGGCAAUAACAGGUCUGUGAUGCCCUUAGACGUUCUGGGCCGCACGCGCGCUACACUGACGGAGCCAACGAGUAUUAACCUUGGCCGAGAGGUCUGGGAAAUCUUGUGAAACUCCGUCGUGCUGGGGAUAGAGCAUUGUAAUUAUUGCUCUUCAACGAGGAAUUCCUAGUAAGCGCAAGUCAUCAGCUUGCGUUGAUUACGUCCCUGCCCUUUGUACACACCGCCCGUCGCUACUACCGAUUGAAUGGCUUAGUGAGGCCUCCGGAUUGGUUUAAAGAAGGGGGCAACUCCAUCUUGGAACCGAAAAGCUGGUCAAACUUGGUCAUUUAGAGGACACUGCCGUAAUGGCC
rnacentral:rRNA from 1 species